UUUAAAUCCUUCCUGUACUA
rnacentral:tRNA from 1 species